rnacentral:piRNA from 1 species
UACCAUUAGGCUUCAUUUUGG